rnacentral:rRNA from 1 species
GACGAACGCUGGCGGCGUGCUUAACACAUGCAAGUCGAACGGAAAGGCCCUGCUUUUGUGGGGUGCUCGAGUGGCGAACGGGUGAGUAACACGUGAGUAACCUGCCCUUGACUUUGGGAUAACUUCAGGAAACUGGGGCUAAUACCGGAUAGGAGCUCCUGCUGCAUGGUGGGGGUUGGAAAGUUUCGGCGGUUGGGGAUGGACUCGCGGCUUAUCAGCUUGUUGGUGGGGUAGUGGCUUACCAAGGCUUUGACGGGUAGCCGGCCUGAGAGGGUGACCGGCCACAUUGGGACUGAGAUACGGCCCAGACUCCUACGGGAGGCUGCAGUGGGGAAUAUUGCACAAUGGGCGGAAGCCUGAUGCAGCAACGCCGCGUGCGGGAUGACGGCCUUCGGGUUGGAAACCGCUUUCGCCUGUGACGAAGCGUGAGUGACGGUAAUGGGUAAAGAAGCACCGGCUAACUACGU